rnacentral:rRNA from 1 species
CCUACGGGGUGCAGCAGUGGGGGAUAUUGCACAAUGGGGGAAACCCUGAUGCAGCGACGCCGCGUGGGUGAAGAAGCUUUUCGGCUCGUAAAGCCCUGUCAUUAGGGAAGAAAAUGACGGUAUCUGACGAAUAAGCCCCGGCUAACUACGUGCCAGCAGCCGCGGUAAUACGGAGGGUGCAAGCGUUACUCGGAAUCACUGGGCGUAAAGGGCGCGCAGGCGGGAUAGCAAGCCAGAAGUGAAGUCCCGUGGCUUAACCACAGGACUGCACUUGACACUGUGAGGCUAGAGUGCAGGAGGGGCAGGUGGAAUUCCUGGUGUAGGGGUAAAAUCAGUAGAUAUCAAGAGGAAUACCCGUGGCGAAGGCGACCUGCUAGAACGCAACUGACGCUGAGGCCCGAAAGCGUGGGGAGCAAACAGGAUUAGAUACCCGUGUAGUC